AUUGAACGCUGGCGGCAGGCCUAACACAUGCAAGUCGAGCGGAUGAAGGGAGCUUGCUCCUGGAUUCAGCGGCGGACGGGUGAGUAAUGCCUAGGAAUCUGCCUGGUAGUGGGGGAUAACGUCCGGAAACGGGCGCUAAUACCGCAUACGUCCUGAGGGAGAAAGUGGGGGAUCUUCGGACCUCACGCUAUCAGAUGAGCCUAGGUCGGAUUAGCUAGUUGGUGGGGUAAAGGCCUACCAAGGCGACGAUCCGUAACUGGUCUGAGAGGAUGAUCAGUCACACUGGAACUGAGACACGGACCAGACUCCUACGUGAGGCAGCAGUGGGGAAUAUUGGACAAUGGGCGAAAGCCUGAUCCAGCCAUGCCACGUGUGUGAAGAAGGUCUUUGGAUUGUAAAGCACUUUAAGUUGGGAGGAAGGGCAGUAAGUUAAUACCUUGCUGUUUUGACGUUACCAACAGAAUAAGCACCGGCUAACUUCGUG
rnacentral:rRNA from 1 species